CAAAUACUCCCUCUGUCCGAAAAAACAUGUCAUCAAAAUGGAUAUAUGCAUAUAGAACUAAUAUACAUCUAGAUAUAUCCCUUUUUAUUCAUUUUGAUGACAAGUAUUUCCAGACGAAGGGAGUCCUUA
rfam:Triticum urartu cultivar G1812 contig1215140, whole genome shotgun sequence.